rnacentral:rRNA from 1 species
CCCCUACGGGAGGCAGCAGUGGGGAAUAUUGAACAAUGGGGGAAACCCUGAUGCAGCGACGCCGCGUGAGUGAAGAAGUAUUUCGGUAUGUAAAGCUCUAUCAGCAGGGAAGAAAAAAGACGGUACCUGACUAAGAAGCCCCGGCUAACUACGUGCCAGCAGCCGCGGUAAUACGUAGGGGGCAAGCGUUAUCCGGAUUUACUGGGUGUAAAGGGAGCGUAGACGGCUGUGCAAGUCUGAAGUGAAAGCCAGUGCUCAACCCUGGGACUGCUUUGGAAACUGUGGAGCUAGA